rnacentral:rRNA from 1 species
GACGUAGGGCGCGAGCGUUGUCCGGAUUUAUUGGGCGUAAAGAGCUCGUAGGCGGUUUGGUAAGUCAGGUGUGAAAGCCCGGGGCUUAACCCCGGGUCUGCAUCCGAUACGGGCAGGCUAGAGUGUGGUAGGGGAGAUCGGAAUUCCUGGUGUAGCGGUGAAAUGCGCAGAUAUCAGGAGGAACACCGGUGGCGAAGGCGGAUCUCUGGGCCAUUACUGACGCUGAGGAGCGAAAGCGUGGGGAGCGAACAGG